GUAUAGCCGUGUGUGUGGCAACCCCCACGCCAUUAUUAGGAAGUAUGGGCUCAUGUGUUGCAGACAGUGCUUCCGUAGCAAUGCUAAGGAAAUCGGAUUCAUCAAGUACCGCUGAAGAAUUUAUAUGUUGUGAAGUUGGAAGGACUUUGUUCAAGUAUGAACCGUUGAUAGUAUGCUUUUUCUUUUUUAAUUGGAAGGUAUCUCGUGUUUUUUGAUUUAGCAUGAACCUUAAAGUGGUUGUUGAACAAAGAAUAUUUCACUGUUUUUCAAUGAAAUUACUUGCAUUUUAGUUUGCUGCUAAUUCGUCUUUGCAAUGUGACGAUCAUGUUAGGUUUUUGGUAUUACAUCCAAUAUUACUUGAUAUGUUUCUCGGUU